GCCUGGAUGGCUUAGCUAAGUGUCUGACUUUGGUUCAGGUCAUGAUCUCACUGUUCGUGGGUUCAAGCCCCGCGUCGGGCU
rnacentral:tRNA from 1 species